rnacentral:misc_RNA from 1 species
AGACAAUGCAUUAUUAGAAGACAAGAAAAUCUGUGUAAAAAAUAUAACAUAGACAAAGACCAGUCCAUUGUCAACUAUGGUGGUCCAUGUGCUUCUCUAAAGAGGGAGAAAUACUUGCAGACAAAAUCCAAGAAUGAUCUUAUCAGGAAAAUGACUGGGAUUAGUCGAGACAAAUAUGCAAUCAUGGAGAAUUAAUUAGGUUCAUACUCUGAUGCUACAGGGUGGACUAAAUGAAGAAAACCCUAAAUGAA